GCCGGGCAUGAUGGCACAUGCCUGUAAUCCCAGCUACUUGGGAGGCUGAGACAGGAGAGUCGUUUGAACCCAGGAGGCGGAGGUUGCAGUGAGCCGAGAUCGUGCCAUUGCACUCCAGCCUGGGUAACAAGAGCGAAACUCUGUCUCAU
rnacentral:SRP_RNA from 1 species